rnacentral:lncRNA from 1 species
CCUCUGCCUCUAAACUUCAGUCAAUGGGGAGAGAAAAGUACCAGUCAUCCCUCUAACACAACCCUCAGAGACCAAUCUGGUUUUCAUUGGAAUCCACUCAACCCUCUUCCCUGACCCAUUCUCACUCUGGUGAAGUUCUGAGAAGUCCAAUCCUAGCCCUGCUCCCUACCAGCCUUUUUCCUUAGUCUCCCCCCCACCCCCCACCCCAGGCUUCAGUUUUCUCAUCUGGAAAAUGAGUAUGGAAGUUGGGCUUCGGACUUCUAAUUCUGACUCUCUCUGAUUCUGUAAUGCUUAGAUCAUCUCGCCACCUUCCCUGGGGGAGGAAACAUCAGGAUAACCAGACCUGCCCACCGCUUCCCUGCUAAGGGGACCAACAGGCUAGUGACCAUCCAAUUUGGCUGUGGCAUCCCCUAAAGGAAAGUAGAACGGAUCAGACAGAAAGGAAGCAUGGAGGAGAAGAUAAAGGGUCAGCCCCAAAGUUUGGAGGAGAUGGUUUAUUUAAAUCCUCUGUCUGGCACAGUCUGGCCACUUGGCCUCUCAAGGCCCCAGGCAAAUCUUCUAGGAGCAGAGGACUUUGCUGGCAAAAGGAGCUGUAUUUCCCAGGACUUGAUUCCCACUCCCAUCCGAAGUGUUUACUCCAAAGGCAAAAGGAUGACACUGGAGUCUGGAGGCAUCUAAGUAUCCAAACUGUCCUGGAUCCAGAAGGCAGAAGGCAGAGAUGGAUGAGAUGACUGCUAUUUCCUCCUUUCCAUACCAUGCAAGGUAAAAUGUGAUAAACAUUACUCCUCUGCUCAAGGAAUUUCACUGGCUCCCUAUAGCUCCUAGGACAAAGUCAAAAAUCCUUUCCUUCAUCUACUAUCAUCUAUUCUUCCAGGCAUAUUUCAUGCAGCUCCCCUUCACACAUUCUAUAAUCUAG